rnacentral:rRNA from 1 species
GACGAACCGUGCGAACGUUGUUCGGAAUCACUGGGCUUAAAGGGCGCGUAGGCGGGCUGACAAGUCUGGGGUGAAAUACCGCGGCUCAACCGUGGAACUGCCUUAGAUACUGUCGGCCUCGAGGGAGGUAGGGGCGUGCGGAACUGUAGGUGGAGCGGUGAAAUGCGCAGAUAUCAGGAGGAACACCGGUGGCGAAGGCGGAUCUCUGGGCCUGUUCUGACGCUGAGGCGCGAAAGCUAGGGGAGCGAACAGG